rnacentral:rRNA from 1 species
UUACGGCCAUAUCACGUUGAAACACGGAUUUUCGUACGAUCCCGAAAGUUAAGCAACGUCGAGCUUGGUCAGUAUCUAGAUGAGUAACCGCCUGGGAAUACCAAGUGUAGUAAG